CCUACGGGAGGCAGCAGUGGGGAAUAUUGCACAAUGGAGGAAACCCUGAUGCAGCGACGCCGCGUGAGGGAAGAAGUAUUUCUGUGUUUAAAGCUCUAUCAGCAGGGAAGAAAAUGACGGUACCUGUUUAAGAAUCCCCGGCUAACUACGUGCCAGCAGCCGCGGUAAUACGUAGGGGGCAAGCGUUAUCCGGAUUUACUGGGUGUAAAGGGAGCGUAGACGGCAGCACAAGUCUGGAGUGAAAUGCCGAGGCUCAACCCCGGAACUGCCUUGGAAACUGUGCAGCUAGAGUGUAGGUGCGGUAGGUGGAAUGCAUAGUGUAGCGGUGAAAUGCGUAGAUAUCAGGCGGAACACCAGUGGCGAAGGCGGCUUACCGGACUGUAACUGACGUUGAGGCUCGAAAGCGUGGGGAGCAAACAGGAUUAGAUACCCUGGUAGUC
rnacentral:rRNA from 1 species